rnacentral:rRNA from 1 species
CUGACGACCGGCGCACGGGUGAGUAACACGUAUCCAACCUACCCCCUUUACGGGGAUAGCCUUUCGAAAGAAAGAUUAAUACCCGCUUUUAUAGCGAUAAGGCAUCUUAUUGCUAUUAAAGAAUUUCGGUGUUUGAUGGGGAUGCGUUCCAUUAGAUUGUUGGUGAGGUAACGGCUCACCAAGUCUUCGAUGGAUAGGGGUUCUGAGAGGAAGGUCCCCCACAUUGGAACUGAGACACGGUCCAAACUCCUACGGGAGGCAGCAGUGAGGAAUAUUGGUCAAUGGACGAGAGUCUGAACCAGCCAAGUAGCGUGAAGGAUGAAGGCCCUAUGGGUCGUAAACUUCUUUUAUAGGGGAAUAAAGUGCGGAACGUGUUCCGCUUUGUAUGUACCCUACGAAUAAGGAUCGGCUAACUCCGUGCCAGCAGCCGCGGUAAUACGGAGGAUCCGAGCGUUAUCCGGAUUUAUUGGGUUUAAAGGGAGCGUAGGUGGAUAUAUAAGUCAGUUGUGAAAGUUUGCGGCUCAACCGUAAAAUUGCAGUUGAUACUGUAUGUCUUGAGUGUACAAGAGGUGGGCGGAAUUCGUGGUGUAGCGGUGAAAUGCUUAGAUAUCACGAAGAACUCCGAUUG